UACGAAGGGGGCUAGCGUUGCUCGGAAUCACUGGGCGUAAAGCGCACGUAGGCGGCUUUCUAAGUCAGGGGUGAAAUCCUGGAGCUCAACUCCAGAACUGCCUUUGAUACUGGAGAGCUUGAGUCCGGAAGAGGUGAGUGGAACUCCGAGUGUAGAGGUGAAAUUCGUAGAUAUUCGGAAGAACACCAGUGGCGAAGGCGGCUCUCUGGGACGGUACUGACGCUGAGACGCGAAAGCGUGGGGAGCGAACAGG
rnacentral:rRNA from 1 species